ACACACACACACAGCUUAAGAUUUUUAUUUUAUUUUUCCAUGGUGACAGAGAUCAAACUUUGGGCCUUGCACAUGCCAGCAUGGUGGGUGUUUUGCCGACUCAGCUACAUUCCUUGCCUCAGCAGCUAAUCUUCCAUGGUGUUAUUGCAGGGCUCUCAGAAGAGGACAACUUUAAGGAGUUAUUCCAAGUUACAUUCCUUCUCUUUCUCCCUGACUCUUCCCCCUCCUCUUCCUUCCUCUCCCCCUUCCUCCCCUUUCCUACCCACUUUUGGGGUCUUCAGUGGUUCCCAAAGAUAUUGGUGUAUGAAAUGUAAGCUGCAGCACAAUAUGGAAACAAGUUCCCCCCACACCUGAGUUAGAGCGAGGUAUAAACAUACCCCUGCUUCACGAAACACAUUUGAACUGGGCAUGGUACUAUGUGCCUAUAGUCCCUUUCCUUAGGAAGCUGAGCCAGCCUUGGCUAAUAGCAAGACUUAGAUGCACACAGACACCCAAAGAAAGAAAAAAUGAGAAAGAAAAGAAAAUACAUUUGAUAUUAUUACAGAUACACAAUUGUAAGGCUUUUUUAAAAAGUUCGGUGAAAACAUGUGUAUGCAUGUGGUCUGUGCUUUUGUUCUUUACAUUCUUAUUUCAGUUUAAAAAGUAAUACUCGACAGAAUCAUUACAUUAAUUUCAUAUAUCCAGCAGUGGGUAAACAUUCUCAGCACAAAAUUACUGAGUUAAAGGAUGCACACAUUCACAAAAAGCAUAUGCAGUUUUGGUCCAGAAUGGGUCUGUAAUGAGGGAGCUAUGGAAUUGAAUCAAGAUCAAGUGUAUACAUUUGGAGCUGGUGUUAUAGCUCAGUGGUAGGUUGGUUCUUCUCUCUCUCUCUCUCUCUCUCUCUCUCUCUCUCUCUCUCUCUCUCAGAAAAAGAGAGGGAGAGAAAGAGGGAGACACACACACACCAGAACUCUGCACAGUUUUCAGGCUGUUUAUUACAGCCUUUCACUUGAAAGUCCUGCAUUCCAGGCUUGGCUUCACAGGCAGUCACCAGGAAUCAACACCUUGGUUUUAGACUCUGAAUAGGAUGCUACAUUCCCUGUGUUUAUAUUACUAAAUUUUCAUGAGCACAAGUAAGUUAUUUUACUACAAAUGUGUAACCUUUGCUGUGGGGCUGGAUUUACUCUUAGAUGCUAAACAGCACAGAGAUACCAACUGUAUGUUGAUCAUUGAGGAAACAUGUUAUAAAACCAGAGAAGGAAGAAGUGGCAAUUCGUGCUGGAGGUAAGUCCCACCUGCUAUAACAGCUCUCUCUCCAUGUCUCCUUCACUCCUGCUGGGAGCCAGGUCCCGUAUUGAGUGCUCCAGCUACUGGGGUGAAGACUUAAGUGCUGGCUUUCAUGAGGCUGGCCAGGAAGAUGGACAGUAAACUGUCCCAGUGUAAUGUAACCAAUUAUGUGAUUGGUAUUUUCACGGUGCAUAAGGGAGCAUAGGGGAGAGAGUUCCCAUGCCUCCAGACACAUGCCAACCCAGUUUGAGCAAGCUCUUGGGAAUGGGUACGAAUUCUCUCUCCCGUUGAGCAAAGAGGAGGAGGGAAGGGAAGAGAUCUGUACAUUCAAAGGCACAGAAGAGUGAAGAGGUGGACCAGCACCGGGACAGCAGCUGAAAUGAUUGAACUCAGGGGCUUGGUACCAGAAAGGGGGUGUGGGGAUGCCCUUUCUAUCAGAACUUAGGAAUGACUUUAAGAUGAACGGCAGCAUGCUUGAGUUGAUAUUUUAAAGGGACUGCACUGACCAUCUGGAGGAGCUAGGCAGGAGGCUGGAGAGAGAUCACAACAGUGCUCAGGAUGGGUGUGCUGAAGCUAGAAGGCAGAAGUUGACGGCUCUGGACAGUGGACAGACUCCAAUGGGUUAUGUGCUAACAUCGCAUAGAAAGUCAGAGACAGGGAGGAGUUUGGGGUGAUAGCCAGAUCACCAUGUUGAACAGAUGGAUGGUCCUACUGUUUACCCAUGGCAGGAAAGAGGACCUGGAAUAAAGGAC
rnacentral:lncRNA from 1 species